AUGCCAUUUACAACUUUAGUAUCGGCUCAACCUUCGCACGGUAUCGUUCAGAUCAUGGCCGCGAACGGGAAUCUGUUUUCCUCACCCGUGACUCCGCAAUCUAGUGGAAGUGAACUUAUGGUGACCCCGGUUUCAAAAAGAUUGCGAAUAUGUGGUUCCAGUGAUUCUUCAAGUAGUGAUAGUGAUUUCGAAACUUUCGCCUUCAAAGACUUUGUCGACAAGUUCUUCGAGCGGCUACCAGGUGGAGGAUUCAAGUGCCGCAGCCCCAGUUGUACCAGCCGCAGUAAAGUUUACCGGAAGCAGCCAAGCGGAAAGGAAGGAGGAAGAGGAGAAGACUGCAAAGACAUACAGUUUGCACCUGAAUGCGCCUUCGAUCUCGACAACUUGCUGUUAAGCUCUGAUUUUAAAUUUGUAUGUGAUUUUUUUUGUGUUAGUCCCAUGUUGCCAAAGUUCUUGUUGAUGGUCUAUUUAUAGUGUUUCCUUAUGUUUUUUGAACUGUUUUUUGAAAGUGACCAAAGUAAAGAAACUAGUCUUAUCUG
rnacentral:lncRNA from 1 species